rnacentral:rRNA from 1 species
UACAGAGGGUGCAAGCGUUAAUCGGAAUUACUGGGCGUAAAGCGCACGUAGGCGGUUAGUUAAGUUGGAUGUGAAAGCCCCGGGCUCAACUGCGGAACUGCCUUUGAUACUGGGUAUCUUGAGUAUGGAAGAGGUGAGUGGAAUUCCGAGUGUAGAGGUGAAAUUCGUAGAUAUGCGGAGGAACACCAAUGGCGAAGGCAAUCCCCUGGGCCUGUACUGACGCUCAUGCACGAAAGCGUGGGGAGCAAACAGG